UGUCACUCCUUACGGGAGGGGUCAGGAGUACUUCAAUCUUCAGCUAGAAGAUCCUCUGCAGCCUGUUUAUCAGAUUGAGGACAACCCUUUCUUGUUCAUAAUGGAUUGUUCAGAAAAAAAGACAAUUGGAUGUGGUAGAAGCAGUUUUUUUCCUAAGCAUGGCCCAAGGACAGCUGCAUCAGUACAACUGGAGGUGACAUGAACUGCAGCAUCAGAGGCACAGCAAGCACUGGAGGGUGUCCCAAUGUUAAGUGGUCUUGCUGUCAGCAAAAACCUGCUCUGGUACUGUAUCCCAGUUGGAGGG
rnacentral:lncRNA from 1 species